rnacentral:tRNA from 3 species
UCAGAAAAUAGUUUAAGUAAAAAUAUUAGUUUUGGGGACUAGAGAUGGGAGUGUCUUUUUUCUGAU